rnacentral:pre_miRNA from 1 species
UUUUAAUAAAAUUUAUCUAUUUAUACUAUUAAAAAUUAACGUGGUUGAUUAAAUAAUCUUUCAGUAACACAUGGUGUGCCACAUUUACCUCAUUCUGACGUACAAUGAUAAGUUUUUAAUAAUAGAAAUAGAUAAAAUUUUUAAGA